rnacentral:miRNA from 1 species
AAUCUGUUUGUCUUAGUGACA